ensembl:lncRNA
CGUAGCAGGAAUCUACACGUUGAACAGGCGUUUUGUUUUUCUUUCGCUGUGCCACAUUGUGACGCAUGCCUUUGCCACGUGUCCCCACAUGUGCCAGCCAAACCUUGUUUAAGCCCUUGCUAUGCAUUAUAUAGCUGCCAUGUCUAGCUCCAAAGACAAUACAAAAGCCCACUAAGAACACUUCUUAACCACUCGCGGGCUGGUUCAAUGAUUAGCUUUGACACAGGAAAUGCAUAUUGCGUCAUUUAUGUUACACAGUAGGUGAUGGAGUUGCUGUUAUUGUGGGAUAUGGGAUUUAAUUCCUCUACUUUGAUUGUUAUGGUUCGACUGAAUGCCAAUGCUUAUGUUAAACAAGAAGAGAGAGGGAGAGAGGCAAGAGAGAGUAUUUGUGAUAGACAAAGAGAUGGGUGAGAGAGAGGACAAACCAAGAGAGGGAAAGAAGAAGACAGAAAAAGAGAGGAAAAACCAAGAGAGGGAAAGAGAGGACAAACCAAGAGAGGGAAAGAGAGGACAAACCAAGAGAGGGAAAGAAAGAGAGAGGGAAAGAGAGGACAAACCAAGAGAGGGAAAGAAAGAGAUGACAAACCAAGAGAGGGAAAGAAAGAGAGAGGGAAAGAGAUGACAAACCAAGAGAGGGAAAGAAAGAGAGAGGGAAUAAGAUGACAAACCAAGAGAGGGAAAGAAAGAGAAAGAGAUGACAAACCAAGAGAGGGAAAGAAAGAGAGAGGGAAGGAGAGGACAAACCAAGAGAGGGAAAGAAAGAGAGAGGGAAAGAGAUGACAAACCAAGAGAGGGAAAGAAAGAGAGGACAACAAGAGAGAGAAAGAAAGAGAGAAGGAAAAGGGAGAGAGGGAAAGCGGGAGCUUCCCCCAGUUCUCCCGGGUGCCCGCAGCAUCAUUUGUUUUUCCUGCUGACUUUGCACCCUCUUGCCUCUCUUUCCACCACACACACGCACACACACACACACACACACACACACACACACACACCACAUACACACACACACCCACACACACACCCCACACACACACACAGGUGCAGGGUAAAAACAUCCUUUUGCUUCUUCAUACUUACAGUAUGAGAAUGUACCACUCAAAUCUGCUGUUGAUUACAGAAUGAAUUACAUUCCUGUAUUUUAAACCAGAUAUACAUAACACAUUUGAACACAAGAUGUACACAUAGCACAGUAGCUGAAUACACACAGUGAUACAGAUUGAUGUAAAAGUGUGUGUUGUGUAUGUAUGGUCUUAGCUGUAAGUGUUAUGUAACUGUAAGUGUUAUGUUAUGUUAUCUUAUGAGAGGGUGUGACUGAGGGUGUGUUACUUACACUCUGUGUCAUUGUCUUGUUAUGUUGUUUGACCUAUGAAACGCCAGAUAAGAAUAGACUGCAUGCAUGUAUGCACUGAGGCAGUGUUUAUGUGUGUGUGUGUGUGUGUGUGUGUGUGUGUGUGUGUGUGUGUGUGUGUGUGUGAGUGUGUGUGUGAUGAAUGUGUGAUGAAUGUAGUUUUCAUGCGUCUCUUUGUGUGUUGAUGAACAUGCAUGUGGAUUCAUAAUUAGGUGAGUUUGUGUGUGUGUGUUUAGGGGAUUGUGUCAUACUGUAUGUGUGUGUGUGUGUGUGUGUGUGUGUGUGUGUGUGAGAAAGAGAGUGUGUGUGAGAAAGAGUGUGUGUGUGUGAGGACACCCCUAGUAGGCCCAGCUGUGGUGGAAACCCCUGUCGGUGCAGUGUGGGCCUCCCCUCUCUGCUCUGAAAGUGUAGGCCCCAUGAAUAAUUCACUAAGUGCUCUCCCCC